UGGAGGUCCUGGCCCGUCCAGCAUCUGCUGCUCAGCAUCUGCUACUCGGCGCCGCCAGCAGCGGCCCCUCCUGGCACCCAGGUCAAGGGCAGUGGGUGCCAGGGAUCUCUGCUCCGAGAAGGGGCAAUGGAGCUGUGUCCAGGGUUCCCGCUGACCCUCAGCCCCCUCCAGAGAAGCGUCUGUUGGAGGGAAGGACUGCUUUCAGUGGCAGGGGGACGCUUUCUGAGCCAGAGAAGGAAGAGGACACAGGGUCCCAGGUCUGCUAUGCGACAGGUGUGCGACCAGGCCUUCUUCGUGACAGGUCUGCUAUGCGACAGGUGUGCGACCAGGCCGAGGGUCCAGGGGGAGCUAGACGCACCAGGAGCCUCCGUUUGAGCUAGACAGUGAAGCCCCUUUGAUGGAUUUCAGAGCAUUUCCCCUCCAUCUGUACCGUGUCUGUCGACAGUUUGCACAGCUGUGUCAGUCCCCUAACACUCUUCAGCAGCCCGACUGCAGGUCCGGCAUGUUCUUCUCUCCUGCACCCCCUGGUGCCACGUGCAGAGAGGGUUCACCAGGCGCUGCCCAAAGCUGGGGGUGGACACACUGGCGGUCACCGGACUGAGGUCCACGUCUCUCUUCUCCUCCUCACCCUCCACUCUGGCUUCCGGCAGCUCAUGUGGAUCUUGGCUGAAUUCCUCAGGCUUCCUCUGUCAGCCUCAAAAAUAGGAGCCUUGUAUGCCCUGACAACCCUCAUCAUGAUGGUGACUCUGCCCUCCUCUGGAUCUCACAGGACUCCUCUCUACCCAACUCCACACGCAGUCACAGCAGAGUCCAAGCAGCGAGACCUUUUUGAUUACAUAGUUUGGGCCGUAGCAAUGCUCACUGCCUUUUAUUGAGGUGCUGAGGGUGGACACGAUGUAAGUGGACCUUCUCUUCGGUCAAGCUGUGGUAAUAUUGUGAAGACUCAAAUACACGUUUUUUAAAGAUUUAUUGAUUGAUGCAUACAGAACUGGGGUACAAGCCAGAAGUUCGGAGG